rnacentral:rRNA from 1 species
CCGGAACCAGGAACAAAAAACCAAAACAGGUUACAGAGAAGUUACAAGAGCUGUCCUAAAAUUUACAGAGAAGUUACAAUGGAUUCAGCACGGCCUUGUUGUCUUGCAAUCAUCGUUGGUGGUUACAGAGAAGUUACAAGAGUUGUCCUAAAAUUUACCCAAGGACCCCUAGAAACUAAAAAUGAAAAUCAAUCAAGUCCUCCAUGUCCUCCAUCACAGCAACAUGUACUUCACCACCGGCCUUCCUUCUUCUCGCCAUGUGCUCGCUGGAUCCUGGAGAGAGAGGGGGGGCACUGUUGCGCGCCAGUGCAGCGUCGGGCGGCUGAUGCCGGAGGGAGGAGGCCACCGCGCGGAGGAGGGAGGACGCCGCCGCGCGCCCGAGGGAGGAGGUCGCCGCGCGCCGAAGGGACGAGCCGCCGCGCGCCCGAGGGACGAGGCCGCCACGCGCCCGAGGGAGGAGGACGCCGCGCACCGGAGGGAGGAGGCCGCCGCGCGCUGGAGGGAGGAGGCUGCCGUGCAGAGGAGGGAGGACGCCGCCGCGCGCCGGAGGGAGGAGGCCGCCGCGCGCCGGAGGGAGGAGGCCGCCGCGCGCCGGAGGGAGGAGGCCGCCGCGCGCCCGAGGGACGAGGCCGCCACGCGCCCGAGGGAGGAGGACGCCGCGCACCGGAGGGAGGAGGCCGCCGCGCGCUGGAGGGAGGAGGCCGCCGUGCGCCUGUGCUCGCCACCCGCGGGUCCGCCAUGCUCGCUGCCCGCGCGGCUGGGGGCAGGCAGGAGCGACGGGGGCUGGGGACGAAGGUAGGCAGGGGCGACGGAUGAUGAGCCGAGGCCAGCGGCCGGUGGCGGCGACGGGGGACUCGCGCCGGGGGCCGGUGGGGGCGACGGGGGACUCGCGCCGGGGCCGGCAGGGGUGAUGGGGUCGGGGACGGCGAGGCAGAGGCCAGGAGGAGAGAUGGCCACGGGUCGUGCGAGGCAGAGGUGUUGGGGCGUGGGGGAGAGAGACG